CGGGGUCCGGGCCAGGGUGCAAGGUUUCCUGUGUUGUGUCAAAUUAAGCCACAGGCUCCACUCCUGGUGGUGCCCUUCCAUCAAUUCUUUUAAGUUUCAGCUUUGCAACCAUACUCCCCCCGGAACCCAAAGACUUUGGUUUCCCG